AGGCGGGAAGAAGUAUUUUUCCUGCACGUCCAUUUUGUCAUGAGGUUCAGGGCGAAGUUGGUCGACAUCGGCUCAAUACAGCACUUUACUCGUAUAAUAGCAACUAUCACACGGCUCUGCAAAACUUGUGUAUUACGGAUAACACUUGAGAAAUUUUAUUUCAUUAUCUUGGAGAAGGCUUUACAUGGUGGUGCCAAAGUAUGGUGUGAACUGUUUCAAGACCAUUUCUUUGAUGAAUAUAUGUUGGAUGGACUCUCUAAAGAUAAUGAUGAGAUAUUCUUAGAAAUAAAUCCUGAUAAUCUUCUAAAAGCACUCAAAACUGGUCAAACUGCCAAAUGGAUCAAAAUAAAAUUGACCAAAAAACAAGUUCCUUCUUUAACACUUGAAGUUGAUUUGCCUACAGUUACUGGCCUGAGUCGCACUGUAGUCCAUGAUAUACCAGUCUCGGUGUUAGCAUUACGUCAUUGGGCAGACUAUGAUGAACCAGAUGUACCUGACUUCGAUGUGAGUAUAAAUAUGCCUGCAUUGAAGCUUCUUCGCAAUGUUGUUGAUAAAAUGAAGAGUAUUAGUAAUUUUGUGAUAGUUUCUGCAAACUGUGAUGGUAAAAUGAAGUUAAUGGUGGAAACAGAUGUAGCAUCUGUUUGUACUUAUUUCAGGGAUUUGACAAACCCUAAAUGGAAGGACAAAAACAGCGACCUGAUCCAGUCCUCUUCUAAAGAUCCUUCUGAGUUCUCUGAAGUGAGAGUAGACCUCAGGAAAUUUGCUCAAUUUCUUAAUGGUCUACAAUUAAAUCCGUCACGUGUUAUAUGUAAUUUCAGUGAAGACCAAAUGAUACACAUUUUACUUCUUCAUGAUGAUGUAACUCUCCAGUAUUUUAUGCCUGCUGUAUCGGUCUAACUUUUGACUUUUAUGGAAACUUACUUUAUGGCUAAUGUGAACAGAGAAAGAUUAACAAAGUAGAUGUAUUUUGAUUCAUCCAUUCAAACAACGGCUCAGUAAAC
rnacentral:misc_RNA from 1 species